rnacentral:rRNA from 1 species
GACGAACGCUGGCGGCGUGCUUAACACAUGCAAGUCGAACGGAAAGGCCCUGCUUUUGUGGGGUGCUCGAGUGGCGAACGGGUGAGUAACACGUGAGUAACCUGCCCUUUACUUUGGGAUAACUUCAGGAAACUGGGGCUAAUACCGGAUAGGAGCUCCUGCUGCAUGGUGGGGGUUGGAAAGUUUCGGCGGCUGGGGAUGGACUCGCGGCUUAUCAGCUUGUUGGUGGGGUAGUGGCUUACCAAGGCUUUGACGGGUAGCCGGCCUGGGAGGGUGACCGGCCACAUUGGGACUGAGAUACGGCCCAGUCUCCUACGGGAGGCAGCAGUGGGGAAUAUUGCACAAUGGGCGGAAGCCUGAUGCAGCAACGCCGCGUGCGGGAUGACGGCCUUCGGGUUGUAAACCGCUUUCGCCUGUGACGAAGCGUGAGUGACGGUAAUGGGUAAAGAAGCACCGGCUAACUACGUG